GGUCAGGUCUGGAGGAGUCCACUUCCAUCUUCAGAUGCUGGGUCUGCACGCUCACCUGCACAUCCUGGAUCUCCUGAUGUGGCGGGAGCAGAGGGCAAAGGGCAAAGGGCGAGGAGGGGUCACAGAAGGAAUCGCUCAUAUGGGGGUCAGAUCACGGGACGGCAGUGCUAACCUCAUCAUGCAGCUUCUUCAGGAACUCAAUCUCAUCCAUCAGGGACUCGAUCUUCCUCUCGAGCUCCAGGCGAGAGAGAGUGGCGUCGUCCACGUCCUGGAGGACAUUUUACUUUCAUCAUGACUGCUGCCGUGCAUAAUGUAAUGUCAUGCCAUAAUGUCAUAAUGUCAUAUGUCUGCGCUACUCAGGUUUACUAAACUUUGUGGAAUCACAACCUGCCACAGGGUGUCAGUCAUGUGCAGGGAAGAGACCAAGGGUACGGACAAAGAAAGCAGAAUAACCCACAUAAUCACAAACACUCUGCAAACUCAUUAAAGUGCAUGGGAGAUGUGUAGAUUUCCCUCUUAGCUGCUGAUCUGGAAGGGUGUGGGCUGCUCAUGUUCUGAGGUACAGUCUGUGUAGGAUCUCACACAGGUAUAUAGUUAUUUUGUAAGAGCUGUGUUGUUCUUUUCUCUGUUGUGUUAGUUUACCUUGCGGAAGAGCACCAGGUUGUUCUCAGCUUCAGCUCGCUUCUGGGUCUCUUCCUCCAGGCUGGCCAAGGGGGGUGGGGGCGGAGGUACACAAAACCAUGAGACCAAGUCAAACACACACACACACACACACACACACUAUUGUCUCUAAAUUUCUCUACAUAGCACAUAAUAUAAUGCAUACACUGAUCAAGAAAAUUCAACAUCUUGUUUUGCAUCCAUGAACAGUGGGAUUAAAAUAAUAUAUAAAGCCAUGGAAUUAUUUUUUAUCUGUCAAAAAGAACAAGGCUCUACUAGUAACAAACAGCUAGCUUUAGUAGGCUUUACUUGUAACAUAAAUAGACUUUUUCUUUGCAAUAUGAUGUUAAAAAAUGUCAUGCUAAAGUGCAAUAUAGAAAUUGUUAAAAUGUUAAGUGCAAGACAUCCAUUUCGAUCAUGCUACCAUCAUGUCAGUAGCAUUCUGUGUACACUUGCCUCAUUUCUAGUCAUUUGUACUGAUUUGUUUAAUAGGGUAAGGAGUCUGCAAAAUUGCAUAAAAAAUUAAUUUACAGAAUUUUAUGGACAAUUGCCACCAGAUUGUGAUUGUUGAUAGUUGAUAAUACAUCAGAGGAAAAGAUAAAACAAUGUCUGAGGCAAUGUGGUAUGCCAGAUCUUCAUUAAGACAUUCUGUCUCAGCCCUAUGUUCUGUCUGGAGUAAUCUAAGCCCCACAUUCUGUCUGGAGUAAUCUAAGACCUGUGUUCUGUCUGGAGUAAUCUAAGCCCUGUGUUCUGUCUGGAGUAAUCUAAGACAUAUGUUCUGUCUGGAGUAAUCUAAACCCUACAAUAUGUCUGGAGUAAUCUAAACCCCACAUUCUGUCUGGAGUAAUCUUAGCCCUACACUCUGUCUGGAAUAGUUUUAACCCUACAUUCUGUCUAGAGUAAUCUACUGUAAAUCAUGUCAGAUUGUCUGGCUUUUUGGGUUACACGUCAGUGGAGAAACAGGGUGAGAGUGUGAAAUAUGGAACAUACAAAUGCAAUCAGUUGUGGAGUAAAUUCAAAAACUAUAAUUCAGUUUCUGGAUUGUAGAGCAUUUUGUUGAGUAUUUAAAGAGAUUGCACCCAAAUCACAUGAUUACGUGAUCCCCUUUGAGAUCUUUGGACAGAGGGCUGGAUGGAUUUGCUGCCAGGUUCCACUUGUAUCCACACAAGAGGUAGCAGCUGGCAAAUGGCCAUCAGAUCCAUCUCCCUGUUCAAAAUCAUGUUAAAGGAUCAGGAGAGGCGGAUGAAAGGGGUCACUUACACAAUGACAAAUUUUGUUGAUUGCCCCCUUUAUGACUCCUGCCCUCUCCCCCCCCCCCCCGACAUAGUGCUUCCUCCAGCUGUCCUGAAUCUCUCUAAAAUGUUUCGGUUUUUCCUGUGGGGGGGGGGUUGAGUGUUGUGCGACAGCCCCGCUGUCACAUUUCCUCAAAAAUACUGCUUCUAAAUACUGCUUAUAACAAGAAUAUUAAUUAUUUUUAUUGUUGUUGUUAUUAUAAUUAUCAAUAAAAAAUAAUGAACUCA